CGCACAUUGCGCCCAUUAGUAUUCUAGUGGGCAUGCCUAUUCGAGCGUCAUUACAACCCUUAAGCCUUGUAGCUUAGCGUUGGGAAUCUACCCCUCACUGAGGGGUAGUUCCUUAAAUUUAGUGGCGGGGUUAUAGCACACUCUAAGCGUAGUAGUUUAACUCGCUUUCAGGGAGGCUGUAGCUGCUUGCCGUAAAACCCCCUAUAACUUAUAGUGGUUGACCUCGGAUUAGGUAGGAAUACCCGCUGAACUUAA
rnacentral:misc_RNA from 1 species